rnacentral:rRNA from 1 species
GACGAACGCUGGCGGCGUGCUUAACACAUGCAAGUCGAACGGAAAGGCCCUGCUUUUGUGGGGUGCUCGAGUGGCGAACGGGUGAGUAACACGUGAGUAACCUGCACUUGAAUUUGGGAUAACUUCAGGAAACUGGGGCUAAUACCGGAUAGGAGCUCCUGCUGCAUGGUGGGGGUUGGAAAGUUUCGGCGGUUGGGGAUGGACUCGCGGCUUAUCAGCUUGUUGGUGGGGUAGUGGAUUACCAAGGCUAUGACGGGUAGCCGGCCUGAGAGGGUGACCGGCCACAUUGGGACUGAGAUACGGCCCAGACUCCUACGGGAGGCAGCAGUGGGGAAUAUUGCACAAUGGGCGGAAGCCUGAUGCAGCAACGCCGCGUGCGGGAUGACGGCCUUCGGGUUGUAAACCGCUUUCGCCUGUGACGAAGCGUGAGUGACGGUAAUGGGUAAAGAAGCACCGGCUAACUACGUG